UAAACACCACUCUUUCUCUUUUACUAUCUUCAAGUGUAGGAGGAGGGGACCAUUACACAUGCUCCCGAGCCUUAGAGAAGACUAAACCGCCGACGCGACGUCACGCGUGUGCUUACGCUUGCGCUUCGUUUUCUUACGCUUCCGCUAUUUUGUGCUUAUAAUUUGUGAUCUUCUCCCACGGAGACAGGUGAAGAGACGGAGGACUAUAGGUUCUGUCAAACGUUACCUCAAAUAUAUCACUUCUGGCGGUAACUGGUCUCCCUGAGAGCGCACGAGCCCAUUAUUUUCUCAUCCUGUACGCAUCGAAUGCGAAGGGAAGGAGCGCGAUCUCUACCUUGUAUACUGUUGUUUCACGUAAUCGAUUAACAGAGUCACCCACUCCGCCGUCCCCGUCACCAAUGCUAGGGUUCUUUAUCGCACUUUGGGGUUUGUUAAUUGCCCCAAUAUGUGCAGUGCUUGCGGCAGUUUACCGCUGGAAUACGACCCAUAAUAAUCGACCCACCAAUAAUAGUGUGGACUCGUUAGAACAUCAUGACACGUACACAGCCUCUCCAAAGACCGACUAUAGCUGUCAGUUCGCACUAGCACUUGGCCCCCAUGACAAUUCAGACUUACGCAAUGGAAACAACAUAGAAGAGAUGGAAAUGUUUGCUGUGAGCGACGUUCUGAGAAUUCGUGGCAAUCGAGACUUUAAUGACGUACCUAGCAACUAUAGUCACCCACUCCGCCGUCCCCGUCACCAAUGCUAGGGUUCUUUAUCGCACUUUGGGGUUUGUUAAUUGCCCCAAUAUGUGCAGUGCUUGCGGCAGUUUACCGCUGGAAUACGACCCAUAAUAAUCGACCCACCAAUAAUAGUGUGGACUCGUUAGAACAUCAUGACACGUACACAGCCUCUCCAAAGACCGACUAUAGCUGUCAGUUCGCACUAGCACUUGGCCCCCAUGACAAUUCAGACUUUGUAGACAGAUUUUGUAUGUCCGAUAAAUGUUUAGUAUCCCAGUAGAUUUUUCAACCAUGUGCUGCAUUAAAAUGUUUUAUGUAUUUUCGCGAUAGUCGGCAAUGAUGUAGCCCGUGUAGAGGACCCUUU